AGAGUUUGAUCCUGGCUCAGGACGAACGCUGGCGGCGUGCUUAACACAUGCAAGUGGAGCGACGAACCAGGGCUUGCCCUGGGGCAGAGCCGCGAACGGGUGAGUAACACGUGGGUAACGUGCCCCGAUGACUGGGACAACCCGGGGAAACCCGGGCUAAUACCGGAUAUGCCCUCUCACGCGAGUGAGAUGUGCAAAGGAAGCUUCGGCCUCCGCAUCGGGAGCGGCCCGCGGCCCAUUAGCUUGUUGGUGAGGUAACGGCUCACCAAGGCUUCGAUGGGUAGCUGGUCUGAGAGGACGAUCAGCCACACUGGGACUGAGACACGGCCCAGACUCCUACGGGAGGCAGCAGUGGGAAUCUUGCGCAAUGCGCGAAAGCGUGACGCAGCAACGCCGCGUGGGGGAAGAAGGCCUUCGGGUUGUAAACCCCUUUCAGUUGGGACGAAGGUCGGGCGGUUAAUAGCCGUUCCGUCUGACUGUACCUUCACAAGAAGCCCCGGCUAACUACGUGCCAGCAGCCGCGGUAAUACGUAGGGGGCAAGCGUAGUCCGGACUCAUAGAGCGUAAAGAGCGUGUAGGCGGGCCGGUAAGUCCGCUGUGAAGUUCGAGGGCUCAACCCUCGAAUGCCGGCGGAUACUGUCGGGCUAAAGUCCGGAAAAGGCGAGUGGAUUNCCUGGUGUANCGGUGAAAUGCGCAGAUUCAGGAGGAACGCCACGGCNAAGGCACUCUCUGGGACGGUACUGACCCUGAUACCCCAAGCGUGGGAACCACCGGAUGAAUACCUGGUAUCAUGCAAAUCCGCCCC
rnacentral:rRNA from 1 species